CACCCGCCUGGGCGAGGGCGUUUUGCAAUUCCAGCUGGCGCUGCGCCUGCUGCUGCAGUUCGUUGCUGUAGCGGGCGA
rnacentral:tRNA from 1 species